GAGAGAGAGAGAAGAGAGAGAGGGGAGAGAGAAAGAGAGAGGGGAGAGAGAAAAAGAGAGGAUUCUAGGCUGAGAUUGAGAGCAACAAGCCUGAAGGUGAGACUGGCAACAGCACUAGACAUUUCUCUCUGUAAAGUCUCAGAGAGAGUUGACGGUUGAAGACAUGGGAAAGAAGGUGACUGGAGCUAAGGCAAGAAAGACAGUAUGAGGUCAUUCCAGCUUCCACCAGGAGCAGGCAGAAAUUGGUAUUCCAGGUUUUAUUGCUCACACAAUGAAGAGGAGUGCCUGCUUCCAUUCCAAAUGCUGCAUACCUCUCCAUAUGCUAUAUUUCUAUUAUUAAAACCUGUACAGGAACACUUUGCCUGAUUGACUUAUCAUAUACCAUGAGACAAAAAGACAUCCAUCAACAGAACAAGGUCUACAGGCUAUCACCUCUGCACUCAGAUACUAAUGAGUUUUCGGGAAUAGAAAACCCAACGGAAUAUUAAAAUUGGAAAGAGGAGCUCGUUGAGUUAAUUUCGCCGAAGUGCAUCACAACAUACUGCAAUGUUGUAAGAACGAAUAUUCAAAUAGGAAUUCAGUCAUGGGAAAAUUAAUUAAGGAAAAUGUUAUUGCUGAUAUUGCUUUUUAUACAUAUACAUAUGCAGAGACACACAACCAUCUAUUGACUUCACUGUUAACAAUAAUGAAAGUUAACAUUUAUGAAAGUCAAAUGUUGAAGACUGCUUGCUGAGUUGGUGUCAAAAAUUUUAACCAUGAUACAGGAAGCUUUUUCUCAGAGACAAACCCAUCAUGUGGCUGUUUCACUUAAAAUUCUUUAAUAAACAUCAUUCAGAAUAAAG